UUGGACUUCUUUGGACUGGAUGCUGACAGU
rnacentral:piRNA from 1 species